rnacentral:rRNA from 1 species
UACAGAGGUCUCAAGCGUUGUUCGGAUUCAUUGGGCGUAAAGGGUGCGUAGGCGGCGGGGCAAGUCAGGUGUGAAAUCCCGGAGCUUAACUCCGGAACUGCACUUGAUACUGCCUUGCUUGAGGACUGGAGAGGAGAUCGGAAUUCACGGUGUAGCAGUGAAAUGCGUAGAUAAUCGUGAGGAAGGCCAGUGGCGAAGGCGGAUCUCUGGACAGUUCCUGACGCUGAGGCACGAAGGCCAGGGAGCAAACGGG